rnacentral:tmRNA from 1 species
GGGGGCGUUUUGGAUUCGACGGGGAUUGUUUGAGCAUGAAUGGCGGGUCGUGGGGCUGCGAGGCCACGUAAAAAACGCAGACCUAAAUGUAACUGGCAAAGCAAAAAGCUUUACCUCAAACAGCAAUUUAGCCCUAGCUGCUUAAUUGUAGUUAGGCCAUCACAUUGAGUGUCGCCCGUGCACACGCUGUGAUGCCAACCUAGCGGGAUAGCUGACGGUAGAUGUUCGCGGACCGCCAGCGAAAAAUCGCGAACUUACUCAUGGCGGAGCGUGUGCGUCCGCGUCGUCUGAGGACAUCUAGUAGGCGUACUACACCCGUAGAAGUUCAUGUGGCGAGGUCUUCGGACGCGGGUUCGAUUCCCGUCGCCUCCACCA